AAAGCGCUUGCAGCCGGGAGCUGCGCGGCCGCGCUGAGAGUCACGUGGUGCGCCAGGAAGCCGCCUAGCUUCUUGGAGAGCUCACUGCCUCGCUCCGCUCCUUUCCUGGCGGGAGGCUCUGAGCCACCCCCACCUGCGCAGGGCGGCCAGGGGUUAAAACAAAGUCACAAGUCUGACCCACACUCAAAGGGAGAAGAUUAUGCAAGAGCAAAAGCACGAGAUGGAAACCAUGGGGCCAUCUUAUAGUCUGUCUGCCGGAGAAAGAUGAACACAAAUCCUGUGACACCAGGUGGAGGGUGACUAUGGAACAUGGAACACACGCAGUGUAAUAAUGUAGGAGCAGAGUCCUCCAUUCUCCUGUGACACCCAUUCCCAUUAUACACUUAGAACCUCCAAGCUUGUGCAUAAUUAUCAAUGGAUAAGAGACAGAAGAAGCAAUAUACACAGCAUCUGGGAGGCUCCUAAUCCACAGAUAAGGCUUCCUAAGCUUCCUUUCCUAUGCUAGACAUAUUUUGGUGAUGGAGUAUGACAAGCACACGGGACACAUUAGCCAUGGAGGCUGCUGAGUUCUGGAGUUCCACUAGACACAUGGUCUUGCUGUGGUUAUAUGUAUAACUUGCAUGCUUCAGCUCAGCUUCCCAUGAUUUUCAGGAUAAUUUAAUAUGAGCAGUCUAAAUAGACCAGGACGUAAUGCUGAAAUGAUUUCUAGAUCAGUAGUCAGCGCGUAGCCAACCCUUUCAGGACCCUCAUUUGUCUUCUAUGUUAGUGUAUUCCAUCAGUCGAUAUUUGCAAAGAAUUCUGUUCAGAGUCAAAACUUCUUCAGAGAUCCCUAAGGAGGGAGGAAUAAAUUACAGGCCCAUGGUUACUCUUUCAUAUAAUAUCUAAAAGGCCAUUAUGUGAAAAGAUUGUCUCUGAAAUCUAAUUCUUGCCUCAGCCAGGUCAAUUUAGGAAAACUGCACUGGCAGCAGCCAGCUCUGUAAUGCUGCCCAAGCAGAUAAAAGCUUGUAGAUUUGAAUAAGGCCCAGACCGCGCUUGCUGCCUCUGUGGAAACAGAUGUUUUCCUGUGUGAAAACAGCCACUUGCCUAUGGACAAAGCUUUUUAUAAGCUGGUCGUGGACACAGAUGUCUUCAAUUUUUUUUUUCACUGUAAUGAUACUGCAGUGAACAGCUUCUGAGAUGGCCCCUAGCAAUCCUGCCUCCACAUCCAGGCCUUUGUCCCUUCCCUGUGAAUGGGUGCUGGCUGAGUAGUUUGUUUCAAACCAGCAGAAUAUGGCAAAAGUUGUCACUCCCAUGAUUAGGUUACAUGAUAUAGUCGAGUAGAAUGUAUUCCUUUGCUGGCUUUGAUGAGGCAAGUUGUUUUAUCAGGAAGGUCCACAUGGCAAGAAACUGAGGGCAACCUCUGACCAACAGCCAGCUAGAAAACGAACCCUCAACCCAACAGCUCAUGGGAACUGGAUCCUGCCAAUGAUCAUAUAAGUGGGCUUGGCAGUUGAUCCUUUCCCAGUCAAAACUUCAGACAAGAACACAACCCUGGCUGACAACUUGAUUACAGCCUAUGAGAAAUUCUAAAGGAGAGAGCCCAGGUAACACUCAUAGAAACUGUCUCAUUGGCCGGAUGCAGUGGUUAACACCUGUAAUCCUAGAACUUUGGGAGGCCAAGGCAGAAGGAUUGCUUGACACCAGGAGGUUGAGGGGAAGGAGUGGCUUUGGGUAUAAGUGCAAUUUAGGCUGAAUCCUGGAGGAAACCUAACGUUCCUUUGAAAGAUUUGAGGUUUAUAAUUAAAAGCAGAGAUUCCAUAGACUUGGCAAUUUAAAAAUACCAGAUGUUGCAUUGUGAGCAGGAGGAUAUCAGUUCAGCACCUCUACCCCCCAAAAAGAAAAGAAAUUCAGGGAGGGAGCAAAGAAACAUUCCUAAAAUGAAUUGGAGCUGGAGGCCAUUAUCCUAAGUGAGUUAAUGCAAGAAGAGAAAACCAAAUACUGCAUGCUCUCAUUUAUAAGUGGGAGCUUAACACUGAGCACACAUGGACAUAAACAUGAGAAUUACAGAUACUAUGGAAUUCUAGAGUGGGGAGGGAGGGAGGGAGGGAGCAUGGGUUGACAAACUACUUAUUGGGUGCUGUGCUCGCUACCUGGGUGCAAUAUGCCUGUGUAAAAAAACUGCCUAUAUAUGCCCUGUAUCUAAAAUAAAAGUUGAAAUU
ensembl:lncRNA LINC02125 long intergenic non-protein coding RNA 2125